UCAGUCUUGUGUACGCUGACGUUUAUGUCGGGAAAUCGCGAGAUAAAAAUCUUGUAAGAAAAUGCGCUGGAUAUUUCGUCUUUUUAAUACAAUUUCUCGGCUCAUUAUUUUAUGACAUGCUUUGAAAAUUUCCACAAUAUAGCAUGAAUAUGUCCUUUAAACACUGGCACAAUUGGUUGUUUGUUAUCCGUUUAUUUAAUUCAAAUUAUUCCCCUUGAAUGACACAGUUUCGUUUGAGCAGUUCAUAGGUAGCGCAACCUGUCUCGUAGUGUUCAUUUUCAAUGGCUACUAAACGCUGUAAAUCAAAAUGACAUCGUGCACUGUUACAUGUCUUCAAUCGAAGAGGGUUCGGAAAUGAUAUUUCCACAUGCUUAAAAUAGGUAAGUGAAAGAUAUAUGUGCAUUUUGGCUUUGUGAUUAAUUUUCGCGACUCGCAAGUUUGACCCGGAAGUAAACUGUACGAUAGCAACUGAAUUGUUUACAUGAAAUGGUGGUAGAUUAAAAUUUGACUUCAAAAUAUCAUGUCUCAAUUUAUUAACACCAACACUAUUCCAUGUGAAAUUUCACAAGACCAGGACACUUCGUUUUUAAAUUUAAAUGAUUUAUCGAAUGUAAAUGAACUUUAUUUUGAAACUUCUCACCCCGCUACUCAAGAUUUGUUUGAUGUGGUAGAUGAUUAUGAAAGUGACCUUGAGUCAAACCAUGAUGAGUCUGAUAUUGAUAUUGAUGUUGAAGCUGUCAAAAAAAUACAUCAGAUACUGCGUUUAUUGAAAAGUCUGAACUUGAUGUGGCAGAAGCUGAUAAACAAAACAAAUUUAAGGUUGACUUUUUAGAAAUGUUUAAGCACAAAUUUAAUUAAUUAUUAUUAUAAAAAAAGUGUUAUGUAGAUAAAUAACCAAUAAUUUGAUAUUCUACAGAUUGGAAAGUUAUUUUUCAAGACCCUGAGGAAGUGUGAGGUGUAUGGAAUCAGCUGUGAAGGAUCUGGAAAGCAGGUGUUUUACCUCGCAGACACAGGCCAGUCACAUGGUAAAGGUGCAAAUGCUGUGGUCAGCCAGGUUCACCACUACCUCAACACAUACCGUUUUGGCGAACAGCAUGCUCACUUUCAGUGUGACAACUGUUGCGGCCAAAAUAAAAACAACAUAGUCAUCUGGUACCUUCUGUGGAGAGUUCUUGUAGGUUUACACAGAAUCAUCACACUAAGCUUUAUGUUGAUAAGACAUACAAGGUUUACACUUUGGCAUCUGGAAGUCAAAGUGGAG